GGACAAGAGGUUUUGGCUUGAUAAACCCUUUCCUGCACCACCUCAAGGACACCAGGUAGGACGGUGAAGGACAGUGUUGAGAGAGCAAAUCAUUUGCCUGGGAGAAGCACUCGCUCCUGGCCCACAGAGAGGAGAAAGGGCUCCAAGAACCGAUGACAAGUUUCUCAGCAGGGCUUUGGUUUCUCUGCAUGUUAUUUUCUGGGUUUUUCUCUUUGAUGCUUAGGGACCGAGUUCUCACCAACUUCCACCCAGAAUGAACCGCUUCGUUAUCUCAAGGAACAGACUCCAAAGCUUGCGCCCGUAUGGAAAACGCAUUCAAGCUCUGUGCCGAGGAAUUCCUUCUUACUUUGCUUACCCUACUGCUGGAUCAAACUUCUUAAGGCAAGAUGUUGCCUGUUUGAAAGUUAAGAUUAAGGAACUGCCCGUCUAUUACUGUGAUUAAUUAUUCCGGAUGAAGUACCGAGGAAGAAAAUUCCCAGACCUGUGGAACCACAGACAAGGGUUUUUCUCCUCCACAAUCUUCUCUUGAUGACAUUUUCAGUCACUUCUCUGUCCUUUCUUCUGCUCUGUCUGGAGAUGAUUCUCUCUCAGUAAAAUUUACCAUCAACCUCUGUUGGUCUGCGCCCUGGUUUUACUGAUCCUUUAAAAAAGUGGAAGCCGUUCCAGAGACAAGAUGCUAAAGUGGUGUUCUUGCAAAGUCCCAGGUUUGGCACUCAAACCCCAGCCUGUACAAUCUCCCAGUCACGUUUCACAUGCUGCCUUAAGCAGUUAUUCAUCACCACUUAAACAAAUGGUGCUAUCCCUACUGCAUAAUCAUAUUUAAGAGAAUAUGGUCUGAAGUCCAAAUUUAUAGAAGGAUGCAUAUCUGCGUUAUUUUCUUUUUAACUUCUUAUUAACAUACUAAGCAUUACAAUGUUUUCUGUCAAAAAUAAGCAUUGCAAUGCAACAUGGCCAAGUACAAAGAGACACAUGCACUAUUGCUCUCAUCAACCCAGAAAUCAAGCUCUAAAUAAAGGAUGCAGCAGCGUGUUCA
rnacentral:lncRNA from 1 species